rnacentral:rRNA from 1 species
GACGAACGCUGGCGGCGUGCUUAACACAUGCAAGUCGAACGAUAAGGCUCUUCGGGGUAAACGAGUGGCGAACGGGUGAGUAACACGUGGGUGAUCUGCCCUGCACUUCGGGAUAAGCCUGGGAAAUUGGGUCUAAUACCGGAUAGGACCACUGCCUGCAUGGGUGGUGGUGGAAAGCUUUUGCGGUGUGGGAUGGGCCCGCGGCCUAUCAGGUGGUUGGUGGGGUGAUGGCCUACCAAGGCGACGACGGGUAGACGGCCUGAGAGGGUGACCGGCCACACUGGGACUGAGAUACGGCCCAGACUCCUACGGGAGGCAGCAGUGGAGAAUAUUGCACAAUGGGCGCAAGCCUGAUGCAGCGACGCCGCGUGAGGGAUGACGGCCUUCGGGUUGUAAACCUCUUUCAGCACCGACGAAGCGCAAGUGACGGUAGGUGCAGAAGAAGGACCGGCCAACUACGUGCCAGCCGCCGCUGUAA